UUUCGUGCCACUACUGACAUGUCACAUGUUAUUGUAUGUAAAGAUUAAAUUUUUGUUAUGAGAACUACAGUUCUUAUGAAAGAAAAAGAUUCACUAAAAGCCUACUACUACUCUGGUAAAUCACAUCAGCUUUAUCAGAUCUAAAUUGGAGCAGCUACAGACUAUAUUGCUCCCAGCACCCAGGACCACUCUGAGAGGUCCUUUAACAAAUGUUGCAGUAAUAAUGGUAUGGAAUAGCCCUCUUUCAAAUGGAGGGCUCAUCCAU
rnacentral:lncRNA from 1 species